rnacentral:rRNA from 1 species
UACAGAGGUCUCAAGCGUUGUUCGGAUUCAUUGGGCGUAAAGGGUGUGUAGGUGGCGCGCUAAGUCGGGUGUGAAAUUUCGGAGCUUAACUCCGAAACUGCAUUCGAUACUGGCGUGCUUGAGGACUGGAGAGGAGACUGGAAUUCAUGGUGUAGCAGUGAAAUGCGUAGAGAUCAUGAGGAAGACCAGUGGCGAAGGCGGCUCACUGGACCGGUACUGACGCUGAUGCGCGAAAGCGUGGGGAGCAAACGGG